GUGGGGAAUAUUGGACAAUGGGGGGAACCCUGAUCCAGCCAUGCCGCGUGUGUGAAGAAGGCCUUUUGGUUGUAAAGCACUUUAAGCGAGGAGGAGGCUACCGAGAUUAAUACUCUUGGAUAGUGGACGUUACUCGCAGAAUAAGCACCGGCUAACUCUGUGCCAGCAGCCGCGGUAAUACAGAGGGUGCGAGCGUUAAUCGGAUUUACUGGGCGUAAAGCGUGCGUAGGCGGCUUUUUAAGUCGGAUGUGAAAUCGCCGAGCUGAACUUGGGAAUUGCAUUCGAUACUGGGAAGCUAGAGUAUGGGAGAGGAUGGUAGAAUUCCAGGUGUAGCGGUGAAAUGCGUAGAGAUCUGGAGGAAUACCGAUGGCGAAGGCAGCCAUCUGGCCUAAUACUGACGCUGAGGUACGAAAGCAUGGGGAGCAAACAGGAUUAGAAACCCCUGUAGUCC
rnacentral:rRNA from 1 species